UUUUUAAAAUGAUAAUUAAAAAAGGAAAUGCAUUUUAGAAAAACCUAAUAACAAUAAUUAAAAUGGUAAAAAUGAAAUUGAAGCCCCUAUUUAAGUUCAGUUGGUAUGGUGAAACAUAAUUGGGCCGUGAUUACAAAGAGAGAGGCUUGAGUGGAACCCUAAUUCCAUUCUUGAAGGUGCCACUGUCUCCUUGCUUCAAAGGAUUCGGCUUUGGUAUCUCAUCCUCACAAAUUGAAUUGGGUUGUCCUCAGUGAUAGCUUCCAAAAUUUACACUUGAUAUGAGCCCAUUUCUUGUUUUCUUUGAUUAUGUUAUAAACUUUCCACAGUUAUUUUGAGUUUUUUGAACUUUUUUUGCACAGUAUAUGCUUCUUGAUGAUGAAAAGCGAUGGUCUUUUAUUCUCCUUAGAAAGUGUGUAAAAAGAAAGUUCAAAUAGAACUGAGGCUUUCCUAGGGUUUUUCUUUUUGUUUGAUAGCAAUAGGAACCAUUUUCGGGAAUGAGUUGGUGUGUUUUGUAGUCCUAGGGUGUCUUUUUGUUUGAUAGUAGUAGGAAUGGAAUAUACAGAUUAUGGAUUUUUUCUUUCUCUCAUCCUCUAGUAAGUCCAUUCACGUCUAUUUUCCUUUAACCCUGAUUAAUAUUUACUCAUCGUGGAUUUUAUUGUUUUUUAAAACCAAAAGGCUCGUCAAUAUACUGAUAUUUAGUUUUUUAGGAUAAUAAUUUGAUAAAUUGUUCAUUUUAUUUUUUAUGAUAAAAUAAUGAUGGUUUUCUUUGAUUGAGUGUUGUGGGUGUGUAUGGAACCCAUUUGUAAAAUUAUUUGCAUAUUUAUAUCUUUAAAUGUUCUUCUUUCUAACAUUAAAAUUUUUAUAAUGCAUUUAUAAAAAUUAAACUUGACAACGGUAACCACCUUAAACUAUUUGUAAAAAUAAUGCAUAUAAUUAAAAAUUUAUUUAAGAAAACAUAAAUGGAUAAUAAUGUAUAUUUAGUGGAUCCAACAUAAAUGGAUAAUAAUGGAUAAUAAUGCAUAUAAUUAAAAAUUUAUUUCAAUUAGUUGGAUCCAUAGUGUUUUUGUUAAAAGGGGUCCUUUCAAACAAGACUUUUGAAUGAAUAUUUUUUUAAACUGUGAUUUUGGUCAUUUGAGAUACACCAGAAAAGAAUGUGUCUAUGAUGAGUAUUGAUAAGAAAUAAAAGUUGAAUAGUUAAAAACAUUUUAGAAAAACCUAAUAACAAUAAUAUAAAAAAUGUACUAAUGAAGAGGAAAGCUCUAUUUAAGUUCAACUGUUAUGGUGAAACAUAAUUGGACAAUGAUUACAAAGAGAGAGGCUUGAGUGGAAACCCUAAUUCCAUUCUUGAAUAAGGUGCCCAAUUUUCUUUCUUCAAAGGAUUUUAGCUUUGGUAACUGAUAUGAGCCUGUUUACACUUGUGACGGCUUUCAAAAUUUACACUUGAUAUGAGCCUGUUUCUUUUUUGUUUUCAUUAAUUAUGUUAUAAACUUCAGUAGUUAUUUUUGAGUUUUUUGUACUCUUUUUGCUUCUUGAUAAUGAAAUGGUUUGAUCUUCUUUUCUCCUUAGAUCAAUUGUAUACAGAAAGUUCAACUAGAUUUGUUCCUAACGAGGUUUUCCUAGGGUUUCCAUUUUUUGUUUGAUAGCAAGGGGAAACGUCUUUCGGACCGAGUUAGUGUGUUUUCUCUGACAAUGACCAGACAAUUGUAGGAAUGGUAUCUACAGAUGAUGGAUUUUUCUUUCUUCUCUCAUACUCUAAUGAUUUCAUCCAGCUGUAAGAAUCGUUUUCCAAAAUGAGUCCCUGUGUUUCCUUUGGGCAGCAAUCAGACAAAUGUAGGAAUGGUAUCUACAUUUUUCUUUCUUCUCUAAUACCAUACUGAUUCCAUCCAGGUAUGUUUUCUUUCAACCCUGACUAAUAUUUUGUCAUCGUGGAUCCUAUUCCUUGUAGGCUCGACAAUAUGGUGAUAUUUUGUUUUUUGUAGAUAAUGAUUUUAUAAAUUAUUUAUUUUAUUUUUUAGGCCAAAGUAAUAAUGAUUUUCUUUUCCUCAUGUUUGAAUGUUGUGGGUGUUGAAUGAGAUGCAUUUGCAAAAAGUAUUUGCAUAUCUACAUUUUUAAUUUGUCCUCUUUCUUAUGGUGUUAGGGAAUAUUAUUAACACAAAUAUGGAUGGUUACAUAUAAAAAUUUAUACAUUUAACUGUUUAUAAUGCAUUUACAAAUAUUAAACUUCACAGUACACAUUAAACUAUUUAUAAGAAAUUUAUAAAAGUAAUUCAUAUAAUUAAAAAGUUAUUUAAAAAAAAUAUUGAUGGAUAAUAAGAUCUAUUCCGUGAAACUAAAAUUCAAAAUUUAUUUCAAUUUAGUUUGAUAAAAAAGUGUUUUUGUUCGAAAGGGUUCUUUUAAGCUUGACAUCUGCUUUAAUAUUUUUUUAACAGUGAUUUUUUUCGUUUGAGACUAGAAAAGAUUGAAUGGUUGACAAUAUUUUACAAAAACGUAAAAACAUAAUUGUACAGUGAUUACAAAAAGAGAAGCUUGAGUGAGAAUCUUAAUUCCAUUCUUGAACAGGGUGCUAUCAUCCCCUUGCUUCCAAGGAUUUGACUUUGGUAUCUCAUCUCCAUAAACUGAAUUUGGUUUAC